AGUAUAAAAUUGUAUUCUGAAUCCAUUUGUCUAUUGAAGGCCAACGCCUAGACAAUCUUAACAGUAUGGCAAUUGACUACCACAUCCAUGUUUUUUUUACUUGAUGCUAGGAUGAGAAAGCUUGGCCAUUUCUGAGGGAUGCAAACUCAUGACAAUAAGGGUGUUUGCUUCCCCGCCAGAAUUUGCCACGCCACAUGAGUUUCUGAUACUGCUUGGUUGGUGACCAGAGUUAGGCAGUGACAAAUUUUUCCUUCACAUCUUUUGCCGUGGCUGUGGCGCCCAAUUUCCACGCCACACUUGCGGCAACACCACAGGCAGUGGCCAGGAAGCAAACAGCCUCUAAGAUCUCUUGUCUUCCCAUUGACGACCUAAUGUGCUCUCCAAUCUGAUUCUGCAACCUUAUCAAUGGUGACAUGGAUAUACUAAUUUAUUUGUUCCACUCCAAUAUCUCGAGACGACUGUUGAUAACUUUUCAACUCCAUGGCAACAGAAGAUUAAAG
rnacentral:lncRNA from 1 species